rnacentral:misc_RNA from 1 species
UCCGGUUUGUCACCGGCAGUCUGGCGUGAGUCCCCAACUUAAUGCUGGCAACACGCCACGGGGGUUGCGCUCGUUGCGGGACUUAACCCAACAUCUCACGACACGAGCUGACGACAGCCAUGCAGCACCUGUGUUACGGUUCCCUUUUGGGCACUCCUCCAUCUCUGGAGGAUUCCGUACAAGUCAAGGGUAGGUAAGGUUUUUCGCGUUGCAUCGAAUUAAUCCACAUAAUCCACCGCUUGUGCGGGUCCCCGUCAAUUCCUUUGAGUUUUAACCUUGCGGCCGUACUCCCCAGGCGGAGUGCUUAAAGCGUUAGCUGCGACACCGAAGGGUAAACCCCCCGACGUCUAGCACUCAUCGUUUACGGCGUGGACUAC